rnacentral:rRNA from 1 species
UACGUAGGAGACUAGCGUUGUCCGGAAUUACUGGGUGUAAAGCGCGUGUAGGCGGCAUACCAAGUCUGUUGUGAAAUCGCCCGGCUCAACUGGGCGGGGUCAAUGGAAACUGGUAAGCUGGAGGACGGUAGAGGCGAGUGGAAUUCCCGGUGUAGUGGUGAAAUGCGUAGAUAUCGGGAGGAACACCAGUGGCGAAGGCGACUUCCUGGCCUGUUCUUGACGCUGAGGCGCGAAAGCUAGGGGAGCAAACGGG